GAUGAACGCUGGCGGCGUGCCUAAUACAUGCAAGUCGAGCGAACUGAUUAGAAGCUUGCUUCUAUGACGUUAGCGGCGGACGGGUGAGUAACACGUGGGCAACCUGCCUGUAAGACUGGGAUAACUUCGGGAAACCGAAGCUAAUACCGGAUAGAAUCCUCUCCUUCAUGGGAGAUGAUUGAAAGAUGGUUUCGGCUAUCACUUACAGAUGGGCCCGCGGUGCAUUAGCUAGUUGGUGAGGUAACGGCUCACCAAGGCAACGAUGCAUAGCCGACCUGAGAGGGUGGUCGGCCACACUGGGACUGAGACACGGCCCAGACUCCUACGGGAGGCAGCAGUAGGGAAUCUUCCGCAAUGGACGAAAGUCUGACGGAGCAACGCCGCGUGAGUGAUGAAGGCUUUCGGGUCGUAAAACUCUGUUGUUAGGGAAGAACAAGUACGAGAGUAACUGCUCGUACCUUGACGGUACCUAACCAGAAAGCCACGGCUAACUACGUGCCAGCCGCCGCCGUAAGAC
rnacentral:rRNA from 1 species